rnacentral:rRNA from 1 species
AUGCAGUCGAGCGGAGAUGAGGUGCUUGCACCUUAUCUUAGCGGCGGACGGGUGAGUAAUGCUUAGGAAUCUGCCUAUUAGUGGGGGACAACAUUCCGAAAGGAAUGCUAAUACCGCAUACGCCCUACGGGGGAAAGCAGGGGAUCUUCGGACCUUGCGCUAAUAGAUGAGCCUAAGUCGGAUUAGCUAGUUGGUGGGGUAAAGGCCUACCAAGGCGACGAUCUGUAGCGGGUCUGAGAGGAUGAUCCGCCACACUGGGACUGAGACACGGCCCAGACUCCUACGGGAGGCAGCAGUGGGGAAUAUUGGACAAUGGGCGGAAGCCUGAUCCAGCCAUGCCGCGUGUGUGAAGAAGGCCUUUUGGUUGUAAAGCACUUUAAGCGAGGAGGAGGCUACUUAGAUUAAUACUCUAGGAUAGUGGACGUUACUCGCAGAAUAAGCACCGGCUAACUCUGUGCCAGCAGCCGCGGUAAUACAGAGGGUGCGAGCGUUAAUCGGAUUUACUGGGCGUAAAGCGUGCGUAGGCGGCUGAUUAAGUCGGAUGUGAAAUCCCUGAGCUUAACUUAGGAAUUGCAUUCGAUACUGGUCAGCUAGAGUAUGGGAGAGGAUGGUAGAAUUCCAGGUGUAGCGGUGAAAUGCGUAGAGAUCUGGAGGAAUACCGAUGGCGAAAGCAGCCAUCUGGCCUAAUACUGACGGCUGAGGUACGAAAGCAUGGGGAGCAAACAGGAUUAGAUACCCUGGUAGUCCAUG